rnacentral:rRNA from 1 species
AUAGAACGCUGGCGGCAUGCCUUACACAUGCAAGUCGAACGGCAGCACGGGUGCUUGCACCUGGUGGCGAGUGGCGAACGGGUGAGUAAUACAUCGGAACGUACCUUAUCGUGGGGGAUAACGCAGCGAAAGCUGUGCUAAUACCGCAUACGCCCUGAGGGGGAAAGCGGGGGAUCGAAAGACCUCGCGCGAUUGGAGCGGCCGAUGCCUGAUUAGCUUGUUGGUGGGGUAAAAGCCCACCAAGGCGACGAUCAGUAGCUGGUCUGAGAGGACGAUCAGCCACACUGGGACUGAGACACGGGCCAGACUCCGACGGGAGGCAGCAGUGGGGAAUUUUGGACAAUGGGGGCAACCCUGAUCCAGCAAUGCCGCGUGAGUGAAGAAGGCCGUCGGGUUGUAAAGCUCUUUUGUCAGGGAAGAAACACCGGCUCUAACACAGUCCGGGAAUGACGGUACCUGAAGAAUAAGCACCGGCUAACUACGUGCCAGCCGCCGCUGUAA